rnacentral:rRNA from 1 species
UACGUAGGGGGCAAGCGUUGUCCGGAAUCAUUGGGCGUAAAGAGCGUGUAGGCGGCCCGAUAAGUCCGCCGUGAAAGCCCAGGGCUCAACCCUGGGAUGCCGGUGGAUACUGUCGGGCUAGAAUCCGGAAGAGGCGAGUGGAAUUCCCGGUGUAGCGGUGAAAUGCGCAGAUAUCGGGAGGAACACCAAUGGCGAAGGCAGCUCGCUGGGACGGUACUGACGCUGAGGCGCGAAAGCGUGGGGAGCAAACAGG